CUGGGAUUACAGGCGUGAGCCACUACGCCCGGCCUUACCCAGGUAAUUUAAAAAAUUUUUUGUAGCGAUGGGGUCUCACUAUAUUGCGCAGGCUGGUCUCAAACUCCUGAGCUCAAGCAAUCCUCCCACCUUGGGCUUUCAACGUGCUGGGAUUACAGGUGUGAACCAUCGUGCCUAGCCCAACUCUGAAACAAUUCUAAUCUUCUCUGAAUGGAACUGCGGCUAGAGGUCAAGAAUCAGGAUCAAUAGGAUAACAGAUGUGUGACGGUUAUAAUACUGAGUGUCAACCUGAUUGGACUGAAGGAUGCAAAGUAUUAUUCCUGGGUGUGUCUGUGAGGGUGUUGCCAAAAAGUUAAACAUUUGAGUCAGUGGACUUGGAGAAGCAGACCCACCCUCAAUCUUGGUGGGCACCAUCUAAUCAGCUGCCAGUGUGGCUAGAAAGAAGCAGGCAGAAGUUGGACUUGACUUGCUGAGUCUUCAUCUUUCUCCUGUGCUGGAUGCUUCCUGCGCUUGAACAUCAGACUCCAAAUUCCUUAGCUUUUAGACUCUUGACUUACACCAGUGAUUUGCCAGGGGCUCUUGGGCCUUUGGACACAGACUGAAAGCUGCACUGUUGGUUUCCCUACUUUUGAGGUCUUGGGACUUGGACUGGCUUCCUUGCUCCUCAGCUUGCAGAGAGCCUAUUGUGGGACCUCACCUUGUGAUCGUAUUCUUGCCAAGAAAGAAAAAAAGAAAAGACAACAGAGCCUCAUCCUGAAAAGAAAAAGCCUGAAAACCUAGGGAUACAUGAGAAACAUCUGCCGCAUACUAGCGCAGCAAGGAAACCACUCACCAAUAAACAGUAAUUUAACUGUAAAAGGAAUGCUUCACACAUAAUGAAAGCAGUUCCUUUAUCUUCAAAGGAAAACUAUUAAUGAAGGAAGAAAGGGUUUUAGAGUACUCUGCAGGAAGGUGGCAUUGCUCUUACCUGCCUCUAUAUCAAAAUGCCAAUAUAGAAACACACUCCCACAAUCAUUUUAUAACACUUGGCAUCCAUUGUGACCAGAGCAGAAAUUUUAUCUACACUUCAAAGUGUUUCCUAUUUCAGACUCUUCAAGAUAACCAAAAAAGGAUUCUGUCUUCAGUAUGCCUGAAAAAGUAGGGAAAGAUGAUUUUUUGUUUUUCAGGUUUUUUACAACAUCUGUUUACGCAUGUCACAGCCAAACAACAUCAGUUGCUAGCCACACAAAACAGGGGCAAUGAAAUGAAUGUGUCAAACUGUGGGAGAAUUCUAAUGGUGCUUUACUGAGAACUCCCUUCUCUCUUGCACCCACAUUCUGCCAAUUUCCAAUAUGCCAGCUAUUGGACAGCACUGGGGAGAAGUUAUAACCCUCCAGAAACAGCCUAAAAAUUCCUUUGUGGACUUAAAGGGAUAAGAGAAAAUUGAAAGGCCUGGGCUUCAAACUUUUAACAAAGAAGGAUUUGAGAAGGAAUGUGAUUCAACAGGAUACGCAUAGCCCAAUUACUUAGAUGACUUAUGAUCGAAGUCUUAAACCAGUUGCCAAUGUCAACUCCUCAUGUGGUUACUGUCAAGUAGGGAACCCUGUUUCUUUAUGCAUGAGACUGAAGAGUAGAGACAUGGGGGAAGGAUGACAGAAAAAAAGAAAGUAUGCAUAACACACUGUAAAGUGGGAAGUGAUACAUAACUAAACAAAUGAUAAAAUCAUAUCAAACAAUAUUAAGUCUUUUUCCUAUAGCUUCAGAAAGAAUAUUUCAACUAAUUGGGUCACUGGAAAACAAUAAUUUUAUAUAGCAUUCUGAUAAAUAGGUCCACAGGCUAAACAAUUUUUUUUUAAAGUUACUUAUCAAUGUAUUCAAGCUGUGUGUUUGAUCCGCAAAGAGAUAGGGUUUCAGUUUAUACUUGCUGUUUGUUGAAGC
rnacentral:lncRNA from 1 species